UACGUAGGGGGCAAGCGUUGUCCGGAUUUACUGGGCGUAAAGCGCGUGUAGGCGGUAUCUUAAGUCCGGGGUGAAAGGCGGAGGCUCAACCUCCGAGCUGCGCCGGAAACUGGGAGACUUGAGUGUCGGAGAGGGAAGUGGAAUUCCUGGUGUAGCGGUGAAAUGCGUAGAGAUCAGGAGGAACACCCGUGGCGAAGGCGGCUUCCUGGCCGAACACUGACGCUGAGACGCGAAAGCGUGGGGAGCGAACGGG
rnacentral:rRNA from 1 species